rnacentral:rRNA from 1 species
UACGUAGGGUGCGAGCGUUGUCCGGAAUUAUUGGGCGUAAAGAGCGUGUAGGCGGUCCGGUAAGUCAGCUGUGAAAGUCAAGGGCUCAACCCUUGAAAGCCGGUUGAUACUGUCGGGCUAGAGUCCGGAAGAGGCGAGUGGAAUUCCCGGUGUAGCGGUGAAAUGCGCAGAUAUCGGGAGGAACACCAGUGGCGAAGGCGGCCUUCUGGUCCAGUACUGACACUCAAGUGCGAAAGCGUGGGGAGCAAACAGG